GACGAACGCUGGCGGCGUGCCUAAUACAUGCAAGUUGAGCGAUGAAGAUUGGUGCUUGCACCAAUUUGAAGAGCAGCGAACGGGUGAGUAACGCGUGGGGAAUCUGCCUUUGAGCGGGGGACAACAUUUGGAAACGAAUGCUAAUACCGCAUAACAACUUUAAACAUAAGUUUUAAGUUUGAAAGAUGCAAUUGCAUCACUCAAAGAUGAUCCCGCGUUGUAUUAGCUAGUUGGUGAGGUAAAGGCUCACCAAGGCGAUGAUACAUAGCCGACCUGAGAGGGUGAACGGCCACAAUGGGACUGGGACACGGCCCAAACUCCUACGGGAGGCAGCAGUAGGGAAUCUUCGGCAAUGGACGAAAGUCUGACCGAGCAACGCCGCGUGAGUGAAGAAGGUUUUCGGAUCGUAAAACUCUGUUGGUAGAGAAGAAAGUUGGUGAGAGUGGAAAGCUCAUCAAGUGACGGUAACUACCCAGAAAGGGACGGCUAACUACGUG
rnacentral:rRNA from 1 species